UGUAAGCGUAUACCAAAGUUGUUGCAGUUAAAACGCUCGUAGUCGGAAUUUGGCAGUUCCGGAUGUGUGCACGUCGUGUGCGCACUUCGCGGGGAUUGCUUUUGUGGUCUUGCGUAGGAUGAGGCACUUUUAUUAAUGAACGUCCUCACGCAACCACUUUUUACUGUGAGAAAAUCAGAGUGCUCAAAGCAGGCAUUUGCCGUGAAUGUAUUAGCAUGGAAUAAUAGAAUAGGACUUGGUUCUAUUUUGUUGGUUUGUUGGGACUGAGUAAUGAUUAAGAGGGACAGUUGGGGGCAUUUGUAUUUCGGUGCUAGAGGUGAAAUUCUUAGAUUACCGAAAGACAAACUGCUGCGAAAGCGUCUGCCAAGGAUGUUUUCAUUGA
rnacentral:rRNA from 1 species